rnacentral:rRNA from 1 species
GACGAACGCUGGCGGCGUGCUUAACACAUGCAAGUCGAACGGAAAGGCCCUGCUUUUGUGGGGUGCUCGAGUGGCGAACGGGUGAGUAACACGUGAGUAACCUGCCCUUGACUUUGGGAUAACUUCAGGAAACUGGGGCUAAUACCUGAUAGGAGCUCCUGCUGCAUGGUGGGGGUUGGAAAGUUUCGGCGGUUGGGGAUGGACUCGCGGCUUAUCAGCUUGUUGGUGGGGUAGUGGCUUACCAAGGCUUUGACGGGUAGCCGGCCUGAGAGGGUGACCGGCCACAUUGGGACUGAGAUACGGCCCAGACUCCUACGGGAGGCAGCAGUGGGGAAUAUUGCACAAUGGGCGGAAGCAUGAUGCAGCAACGCCGCGUGCGGGAUGACGGCCUUCGGGUUGUAAACCGCUUUCGCCUGUGACGAAGCGUGAGUGACGGUAAUGGGUAAAGAAGCACCGGCUAACUACGUG